AUUGAGCGCUGGCGGCAUGCUUUACACAUGCAAGUCGAACGGUAACAGGUUAAGCUGACGAGUGGCGAACGGGUGAGUAAUGCAUCGGAACGUGCCCGGUCGUGGGGGAUAACGCAGCGAGAGUUGCGCUAAUACCGCAUACGAUCUGAGGAUGAAAGCGGGGGACCGUAAGGCCUCGCGCGAUCGGAGCGGCCGAUGUCAGAUUAGGUAGUUGGUGGGGUAAAGGCUCACCAAGCCAACGAUCUGUAGCUGGUCUGAGAGGACGACCAGCCAGACUGGGACUGAGAAACGGCCCAGACUCCUACGGGAGGCAGCAGUGGGGAAUUUUGGACAAUGGGCGAAAGCCUGAUCCAGCAAUGCCGCGUGCAGGAAGAAGGCCUUCGGGUUGUAAACUGCUUUUGUACGGAGCGAAAAGGUCUCCUCUAAUACAGGGGGCUCAUGACGGUACCGUAAGAAUAAGCACCGGCUAACUACGUGCCAGCAGCCGCCGCCG
rnacentral:rRNA from 1 species